rnacentral:rRNA from 1 species
AUUGAACGCUGGCGGCAUGCCUUACACAUGCAAGUCGAACGGCAGCACGGGAGCAAUCCUGGUGGCGAGUGGCGAACGGGUGAGUAAUAUAUCGGAACGUGCCCAGUCGUGGGGGAUAACGUAGCGAAAGCUACGCUAAUACCGCAUACGAUCUAUGGAUGAAAGCGGGGGAUCGCAAGACCUCGCGCGAUUGGAGCGGCCGAUAUCAGAUUAGGUAGUUGGUGAGGUAAAGGCUCACCAAGCCGACGAUCUGUAGCUGGUCUGAGAGGACGACCAGCCACACUGGGACUGAGACACGGCCCAG